UCAGAUGAUAAUGCCGCUCCUAUAGACGUCACCAACCUCCCUUCAAUGAAUGAAGAGUAUACGAGUAAAAUUUUCCUUUGUCGACCCGGUAAAAUAUUGGGCUACAAUAUCUGUAGCAUUGAAAUGAUAAUUGCCACUAUUAACAUGCUAAGUUACAUAAUAUGUGAAGCCAUUCUUCAGUGACGCCCCUUUUAAUACGUCGAGAAGACUAGAUGAUUUUCUGCUUGAUCACUAUGUUCUUAUCUCCCAUAUGCUCUGAACAAUUUGUCCAAGCUCUCCAAUGCAGCAGUGUUCUUUUUCCUCUCACAAGUCACAUGCAAAAGACAAGUGCCCCCAAUUGACUGCUUUAACAUGAACCUGGUUCCUGAGCAGGUCUUGCUUUUGCUCUGUCUUGAUCUAACUAGAGACACUGACACCCAUGAAUUCAAAUCCAAUUGCAAAAUACAUAAUCGACUGGGGCAGAACAAAAAAUACAUAAUCGACUGGGGCAGAACAAAGAUGUAAAAACUAUCAUCUCUGUACAGGUAGUCGUAGCAUGCAGAUAUCAGAAGCAGCCC
rnacentral:lncRNA from 1 species